UCUGGCUACACCGGCCACACUUGGGACUUGAGACACGGCCCAGACUCCUACGGGAGGCAGCAGUGGGGAAUAUUGCACAAUGGGCGCAAGCCUGAUGCAGCGACGCCGCGUGAGGGAUGACGGCCUUCGGGUUGUAAACCUCUUUCAGCAGGGAAGAAGCGAAAGUGACGGUACCUGCAGAAGAAGCGCCGGCUAACUACGUGCCAGCAGCCGCGGUAAUACGUAGGGCGCAAGCGUUGUCCGGAAUUAUUGGGCGUAAAGAGCUCGUAGGCGGCUUGUCACGUCGGGUGUGAAAGCCCGGGGCUUAACCCCGGGUCUGCAUUCGAUACGGGCUAGCUAGAGUGUGGUAGGGGAGAUCGGAAUUCCUGGUGUAGCGGUGAAAUGCGCAGAUAUCAGGAGGAACACCGGUGGCGAAGGCGGAUCUCUGGGCCAUUACUGACGCUGAGGAGCGAAAGCGUGGGGAGCGAACAGGAUUAGAUACCCUGGUAGUCCACGCCGUAACGGUGGGAACUAGGUGUUGGCGACAUUCCACGUCGUCGGUGCCGCAGCUAACGCAUUAAGUUCCCCGCCUGGGGAGUACGGCCGCAAGGCUAAACUCAAGGAAUUGACGGGGGCCCGCACAAGCAGCGGAGCAUGUGGCUUAAUUCGACGCACGCGAAGAACCUUACCAAGGCUUGACAUACACCGGAAAACCCUGGAGACAGGGUCCCCCUUGUGGUCGGUGUACAGGUGGUGCAUGGCUGUCGUCAGCUCGUGUCGUGAGAUGUUGGGUUAAGUCCCGCAACGAGCGCAACCCUUGUCCUGUGUUGCCAGCAUGCCCUUCGGGGUGAUGGGGACUCACAGGAGACCGCCGGGGUCAACUCGGAGGAGGUGGGGACGACGUCAGUCAUCAUGCCCCUUAUGUCUUGGCUGCACACGUGCUACAUGCGGUACAAUGAGCUGCGAUACCGUGAGUGAGCGAAUUCUCAAAAGCCGGUCUCAGUCGGAUUGGGGUUCUGCAACUCCGACCCCAUGGAGUCGGAGUGCUAAGUAAUCGCAGAUUCAGCAUGCUGCGUGAUACGUCUGCCGUGCGUCAUUAGAACAGGACGAGAAACUACGAAUGGGUGGCACUCUCCUCCGGUUCUCCAUGACUGAUUAUGCUGCACG
rnacentral:rRNA from 1 species